rnacentral:rRNA from 1 species
CGACGCCGCGUGGAUGAUGAAGGCUUUCGGGUUGUAAAAUCCUUUACAAGGGGACGAGGAAGGACGGUACCCUUGGAACAAGUGUCGGCUAACUACGUGCCAGCAGCCGCGGUAAGACGUAGGACACAAGCGUUAUCCGGAUUUACUGGGCGUAAAGCGUCUGCAGGCGGACAGGUAAGUUGGGCGUGAAAGCUCCGGGCUCAACCCGGAGAGGUCGUUCAAUACUGCGUGUCUAGAGGGUGUCAGAGGGGAGUGGAAUUUCCGGAGUAGCGGUAAAAUGCGCAGAUAUCGGAAAGAACACCAAUGGCGAAGGCAGCUCCCUGGGGCAUACCUGACGCUAAGAGACGAAAGCUAGGGGAGCGAACAGGAUUAGAGACCCUGGUAGUCCUAGCCCUAAACGAUGGAUGCUGGAUGUGGGGCCAUAGCGCUCCGUGUCGAAGCGAACGCGUUAAGCAUCCCGCCUGGGGACUACGGCCGCAAGGUUAAAACUCAAACGAAUUGACGGGACCCCGCACAAGCAGCGGAGCGUGUGGUUUAAUUCGAUGCUACACGAAGAACCUUACCUGGGUUUGACAUCUAGGUGGUAGCGACGUGAAAGCGGAGCGACCCUUCGGGGAGCCUAGACAGGUGCUGCAUGGCUGUCGUCAGCUCGUGCCGUGAGGUGUCGGGUUAAGUCCCGUAACGAGCGCAACCCUUGCCCUCCGUUAUACGUGUCAGAGGGGACUGCCGGCGGUAAGCCGGAGGAAGGUGGGGAUGACGUCAAGUCAGCAUGGCCUUUAUAUCCAGGGCUACACACACGCUACAAUGGCCAGUACAAAGGGCAGCGAAGCCGCGAGGUGGAGCGAAUCCCAACAAAGCUGGU